rnacentral:rRNA from 1 species
CGUAAGAGUGUCGGAGAGGUGAGUGGAAUUCCUAGUGUAGCGGUGAAAUGCGUAGAUAUUAGGAGGAACACCAGUGGCGAAGGCGGCUACACUGGACGAUAACUGACGCUGAGGUGCGAAAAGACUGGGGAUCAAACAGGAUUAGAUACCCUGGUAGUCCACGCCGUAAACGAUGAGUGCUAAGUGUUGGGGGGUUUCCGCCCCUUCAGUGCUGCAGCUAACGCAUUAAGCACUCCGCCUGGGGAGUACGACCGCAAAGGUUGAAAACUCAAAGGAAUUGACGGGGACCCGCACAAGCGGUGGAGCAUGUGGUUUAAUUCGAAGCAACGCGAAGAACCUUACCAAAUCUUGACAUCCUCUGACAACUGUAGAGAUACAGCUUCCCUUCGGGGCAGAGUGACAGGUGGUGCAUGGUUGUCGUCAGCUCGUGUCGUGAGAUGUUGGGUUAAGUCCCGCAACGAGCGCAACCCUUAAGUUUAGUUGCCAUCAUUAAGUUGGGCACUCUAGACUGACUGCCGGUGACAAACCGGAGGAAGGUGGGGACG